CACACCGCCCGUCACACCAUGGGAGUUGUUUCUGCCUUAAGUCGGUGAGCCAAUCUGGCAGCCGCCCACGGCAGGAUGAUGACUGGGGUG
rnacentral:rRNA from 1 species